GACACAAGAGAGUGGGCCCUACCAUCACACUGAACAAGGAGAGGACAUGGCAUCACCGAGAAGGAGCUCUGUAACCUGCAUGAGAAGCUCAGCUCAGCUCCAUUUCCUUGCCUUGAGUGGACUUGUGGACCUGGUUAUGAGGCUUCCUUGAGAUAAAGCAAAAACUAUCAGGUCAAAGUUGGACAGGACAAACCAAGAGGACAAGAGCUGAAGAAAAGCCACAAGAACCAGAGACCCAUUUGCACACUCAGGAACACCAUAAAACACUAAACUGGGAGCCAUAACAUAUAGGCAGAGGACCUGGUGCAAACCUGUGCAAACUCUGUGCAUGUUACCACGGUAUCUGAGGAAGCUUCUCUGAUGAUGGCUGAAAAAGGUGCUGAUCCAUGACAAUUGCAGAAUUUGAUUCUUAAUUUUGGAAAUGGUGUUGUCCUUUUUCUUUGUGGCAAUGGGAAAGGUUUGCCAACUUUAUUGAUCUUUUGAAAGAACUUUUUAUUUUAUUGAUUUUCUUCCCCCCACCCCCCAUACUCAGGACUAAACCCAGGGCCUCAUACAAACUCACGCUACAUGUCUAGACCACUUCUUACUUAAUUUUUUGUUGUUGUUGUUUUUAAACAGGAACUUACUAAGGUACCAUGAAGCUUGAACUUACCCUGUAACCCAGAGAAGCCUUGAUGUUGAUCCUUUUGUCUCUACCUUCCAUUUAGAUACUAUCACUAGGUUCACUGAUGGUUUUUCCUUGCUGUGUGAACCAUAAGGAUGCAAAUAUUCUAAUCAGUGAAAGUGCAUAAAAAGGGUUGAUAAUGAUGGACUACAGAAGGAGAGAGUGAUUAUCUUUGGGGAUAUAAAUCUGAUCAAGUACAGGUAUAUAAUGGAGCCUUUAAUUCUAACAGUACAUAUAUAUAUUUAUUUCUUAAGUUGUACAGUGUCCACCCAUAUCUACAUGCCAGUAAUACUACAGAAUAUACUUAUUCUGUAGAAAAGGAAACAGUUUUAAUGUCAGCAUAUUUAAAAAGUGAAAUAUAAAUACCAAUCUCAGAUCCAGAAAAUGUCCUUCAUUAUUCACUAACACUACCCAUUCUUUCAAAUAGUUCUCCUUCCCUUGUUUAUUAAAAAAAGGGGAGAGCUAGAGAAAGUCACUUUCAAAGACGGUAAGUGUGAAUUUAAAUUUUUUAUUACAGAUAAUAGAACAAGCUCAAGAAAUUAAACAACAGUUAAGAGACUAAUACUUGAAUUUGGGAUCUAUGCCUUAUGCUGAUAAAUAUAUAAUCUAGCUUUGUAUAUUUGAAAGUAAAAAGAUAAUAAAAGAUGGGCUGAGAUAGUGAGGGAAGAGACAAAGUUGGCGUGUUUCAUCUCACAUUGUGCUUGACGUCUGAAGCACACAAGCUUGCAAGAGAGACUGUCUUCUCUUGGCUCUAGCCAGUCCCAGGCUGCUCCUGUCUCCAGCCAGCUCCGUGGGCUCUUCCCAAGACUCCACCGCCAAGUGGGACACAGCAUCGCAGCUCUCAUUUCCUUGGUAACCUGGACCAAGGUUUAUUGCUGUUUGUUAUGAAAGGGGACUCUCUACUGCUGUUCUCAUAGGGGCAGACGAAGUAGCAAAACAAGUACACCGAGGUGGAAAAGAUAGAAAGCAGAACUUGGGUCAUCUCUGAACUGAAAUCCAUUUUCUUUCCUCAAAUUCAGAGUGUCCAGGCUGCCACAGCCUCCACCUUGCUCGCUCCUUUCUUCCGUGGCAGGUACUCUGCCGGGCUGGAGAACUGCAAGAAAACAGCGUUUCCUGUGUGUGCAGGUCCCUGCCACAUCUCUCUGUGUAGCUGGGGUGGAUCACUCUGGAUUUCAACACUGUUCUCAUGAUGUAAGGCUGCUUUAUCAGCU